rnacentral:rRNA from 1 species
GACGAACGCUGGCGGCGUGCUUAACACAUGCAAGUCGAACGCGCCUGUCCUCUGGGUUUCUGGGGGGUGGGUGAGUGGCGAACGGGUGAGUAACACGUGAGUAACCUGCCCCCUUCUUCGGGAUAACGGUCUGAAAGGGCCGCUAAUACCGGGUAUUCACUGGUCUCCGCAUGGGGUCUGGUGGAAAGGUUUUUUUCUGGUGGGGGAUGGGCUCGCGGCCUAUCAGCUUGUUGGUGGGGUGAUGGCCCACCAAGGCUUUGACGGGUAGCCGGCCUGAGAGGGGGACCGGUCACAUUGGGACUGAGAUACGGCCCAGACUCCUACGGGAGGCAGCAGUGGGGAAUAUUGCACAAUGGGCGCAAGCCUGAUGCAGCGACGCCGCGUGAGGGAUGGAGGCCUUCGGGUUGUGAACCUCUUUCGCCCGUGGUCAAGCCGCGACGUGGGUCGUGGUGAGGGUAGUGGGUAAAGAAGCGCCGGCUAACUACGUG